CAUUGCCUGAGAUGCACGUCAUCUUGAUAUGUCCAACCUACUUUUAUAUAUAGGGAAUCCAAUGUUAUGUAGCUGUCGAGCCGCCAUAGAGCGGAGGACAAAAGCAUAUCUAGGAUGCCCACCUGCGAGUAGCGGGUUUGGACAUAUUAUAGAAGCGACAUUCCGGGCCUACA
rnacentral:other from 1 species